GACCUCAGUUCAGGGGAGAUUACCGGCUGAAU
rnacentral:rRNA from 1 species